AAUUCAGUAUGAUUAAACCGAAAGUAAGACAGUCUAGCGAAAUUCUUAGACACUUGGAGGUGUAAAAACAUCUUUUUCUUCGAAUGAAUGGCAUUGGAACGAAAUGAAACCCUACAGAUAUUGAAACAGUGGAAAUAAAAUAGUAUGUGAAAGGCGAAGACAACGAACAGUGAUCAAUCUCAUAACUAUAAGGCGAAGACAACGGACAGUGAUCAAUCUCAUAACUAUAAGUAAUACAAAAUAGAGAGUUGCAUCUGUUGUUUAUAAAGUUGGGAGGAUACCUAUAUUCAUCGACACAUGAGUGUGUGCUGCCGGGAUGUUGUAUUGUAUUGUGUGGAUCAUGGCAUUACUAUGACAGACGGGUUUCUGAUACUCAAGGAUCAAAUUGAAGUUUCCAUCCAGAGGAUCCAGUUUUUGGUUUAUAGAAGUGAAAUCCCGAGGGUUGCUAAUAUCUAUAUAUUGGUUAUCGACUAUGGACUAGCACUGCGAUGCUGAGUUGCUAACAUUUUUUCUUGUAGAGACUUGGUCCUUUCUAAAUCUAAGUUUUUGUUCUAAACUAUAUAAUCCGAGUUUCCAUUGCUUCGUGGUCUAGGUCCAGACUUUUUCUUCUGAAACUUUUAAGUGAUUUGACUUGAGUACUGACAGUAUCUGUGUAAAUUAAUGUCUGAUUGAUUGAUUGUAUCUUGCUUUACGUCUCGCUCGAGAAUUUUUCACUCAUAUGGAGACGUCAUCAAGACCGGUGAAGGGCUUCAAAUUUAGGCCUAUGCUCGGCGCUUACGGCCAUUGAGCAGUGAGAGUUCUUUAGAGUGCCACACCUACUGUAACACCCGUUUUUAAGGUCAUCUCCGAGGACCCGUGACAUUCACACCUGAUGUCGAGCGUUUGGCGAUGGAACUGUCACUACCUAUUUUAACGAAUUAAUGUCUGGUGGUAGACUGUACUAGCAGGGUAUGGUGUAGAUGGGACACAUUUAUGGGGAGAAAUUGUAGCAUCUGUAGACAACACUAUACUACUGGAGACUGAUGCGGGCGUGAAAGUGGAGAUUAAGACGCAAAGCUUUCAAGUGUUUGUGGUCCAAACGCCUUCUUCGUCUGUCAACACAACACUUGUGCUUUUGAGCACAGGUGCUUGUGGAAAGGACUUUCGGUACCCCCCUUCUUUUAUUUUUAAAUGUUCAAUUCCUUGGGUAUUUCGGACGUAUUUUUGAUAAAAUAUGUAACUUCAGAGUUUAUCUAUUUCAAUGGAAUACACAAAUCUCGCAUAGAAACCGUUUUUAAAAAUGUCAUAUCACCGAUCAUAAUAUAUGAACAUAUAUUAUGAUCGGUGAUAUGACAUUUUUAAAAACGGUUUCUAUGCGAGAUUUGUGUAUUCCAUUGAAAUAGAUAAACUCUGAAGUUACAUAUUUUAUCAAAAAUACGUCCGAAAUACCCAAGGAAUUGAACAUUUAAAGAUAAAAGAAGGGGGGUACCGGAAGUCCUGUCCACAAGCACCUGUGCUUUUGAGGAGAGAUUUAGGUUAACCCUUUCGUGAAUGCGAGAUUCACGAAUGACUGUUUUUAGACUAGCGUUGGUAGUAGAAUGCAGUAACUUGAUACACGGGUCUGAGCAAGAUUUGUAGGGCCUGAGGACGGUGACUUUGGACCACUUCAACUGUUCACAGACAUAUGGCAAGCCCUUUUACUAUUUAUUAGAAAAAUAAGAUAUCUCUUUAAAUUAAAGAUAUAUCUCUUAUUUUAAAGAGAUAUCUCUUUAAAAUGAGAGAUAUCUCUUAAUCUUAAGAGAUAUAUCUCUAAAUAAGAGAUAUCUCUUUCACUUAGAGAGAUAUCUUUUACUUUUAGAGAUAUCUCUUACACUUAAAGAGAUAUCUCUUUCAAUUUAAGAGAUAUCCCUUUCAUUUAGAGAGAUAUCUCUUAUACUUUAAGAGAUAUCUCUUUCAUUUAGAGAUAUAUCUCGUUACCUUAAAGAGAUAUCUCUUUUACUCUGAGAUAUAUCUUUUACUUUGAGAGAUAUCUCCUUCACUUUAAGAGAUGUCUCUCUAAGAAUUCCUAGAGAGAUAACUCUCAAAGUAUAAGAGAUAUCUCUUUAAUCGGUGAAAAAGAGAUAUCUCCCAAAGAGAAAGAGAUAUCUCUUUCCAAUAUUUUUAUUAGUUUGAAUACUUAAGUAAUUCUCCCUAAAACGGAAGCCCGCCAAAGCAAAUCUUACCAUGAUGGCUGGGGUGUUGCUAAACCGCGGAACGGAAAAUGGAACGGAAGACGGAACGGAAGGGAAAACGGAAAAUAUAUCAUGCAAUAAUGUUAUGAGGAGGUCAACAUUUUACAAAAUCAAAAGGCUUAUUCAUUAUUAUGAACAAGGAAUGCAGAAAUUACAGAGAAAACAGGAAGUCAUCCUCAGAAUCCACCAUUUCAUAUUGAUACCUGAUACUAAUGCAUUAUUAUGCAUUUUGACAAGGUUUGUUUUGUGGAUGAAUAUACUAACAGGCGCUUGCUUAAUAAUUUGCAUAGUAAGUUUUAAUAAAAAUAUCAAGCAAGCGCCUGUUGGCACCAUCUUUUUCCCCGGCUUUGUCAUCCCUCCCCCCAGAUUUUGACAAUGUUGUUCCACAAAUGAAGAAAAAAUAAAUAAAGUAACAUACUGAAAAAGACUUGAAUAAUAAUUCAACCCUUUUCAGAUUUAUUUACUUUAUUCUGGCUGGUAUGGUAAGAAAAGAUUUUAUGAGCCCAUCCAAUGAAUAAAAGGUACCCCCCCCCCUGUAAACAACAUUGUAAAAGAUAAAAUAAUUUUUUGAACAAUUUUCCCCAAACAUAGCCUUUUUAAAUCGAACGUGCUUUUAAUCGAACUACAUAUGUUUAAGAUAACUGAAUUUGAAUUCAGUUCUACACCUGGUACAAUAUACAUUUAUGUAUCACAUAAAGUUUUAAAGCGAACGAGUCCGGUGAAGAAAAAAGUUUUGCCUCAUUUAGGAUGAAUCGAUGUCAAAGUUCGUACAUUUACCGAUACUAUGUAUGUCCAUCCUCUAAUAUUCACUCCACUUUUCAUAUUGUAACACCUCUUUUGUUUAUACUUUGUAAUUGAAUAUGUUUUAUGCCGAUGAGCCGUAUAAACAAUACAAUACAAUAGGAAUUAACAGAUUUAUUUUAUAAUAUAUGAAAUAGCUAAAAAGCUAACACAAAAUUUAUGCUUGAAUGGAAUAGCUAUUAAAAGUCAUCUCAUUAUUAAUACAAAUGUUAAAGCUAUACAAGUAUUUAGUUUAAAAUUAACUGCCAGAAGUCCUCCCUAUUUAGGAUUGGAGUGCUGCGGUUACUAAGUCUCCUGUUAGUUAAAAAAUGAUAAAUCAAACAAAAGAUGUUUAACUUGUUGACUAAAUAAGAUCAUGAAUUAUUAUUGUUUUAUACAUAUCACACUCCCUGUUGUAAGUACACACAUACACGGUAUUAUGUAUAAAUACAUGUACAUGUGCGUAAAUGACGUUUUGCCACCGUAUAAACCACGUGUGUUCUUUUCAUUCUCUACCCAUAGGUGUCACUCGCUAACACCUCUGUCAUUGCCGAAAUUCUUGUAAAAUGCCUGUAAAUUCCUAUACUAACGUUUAACUAAAUUCGCUUAAUCAAUUUAUGAUGCAAGAUAAAGUUGUCUUAUCGCUUGUAAACAAUUCCCAAAUUGUUGAUUUUAAUCAAAAUGAAUCCCCCCCCCCCUCCGAUUUUUACCGUUAUCUUACCUACAUUAAUCAUUCUAAUUCUUAAAUUCCGUUCUGUUUCCCGUUCCGCGUUUUAGCAACACCCUGAUGGCUGCAAUCCCCUGGGAAGAUUUUGCUUUUUACAUACAUGUACAGGUAACAAAAAACAAAGACAAUAAAUUGAUGAAAUAUGCGUGCUAGACUAGAUUUCGCCUCUCGGCAACUUGACAAUGUUACCCCAACCACCUCUUCAACCUUUCCCGCCAUUUGUACACUAGAAGUAUUUUGCUUGGUUAAAACAUUUCAAUGACAAUGCAACAGGGAGAAGUCAUUAUGAUUACCGAGGGGAAAAUCUAAAGAGAUAUCUCUUUAGAUUAAAGAGAUAUCUCUUUUUUAAAAUUUAAAGAGAUAUCUCUCUAACUUAAAGAGAUAUCAUUUUUUUUACAUUGAUGGAGAGAUAUCUCUUUCUCGCCGAGAGACAUCUCUCUAGCUUUGAGAGAUAUCUCUCAAGCGUAAAGAGAUAUCUCAUUUGUUUAAAGAGAUACCUCUUUUGUUUAGAUAUAUCUCUUUUGGUUAAAGAGAUAUCUCUCUAACUUACAGAUUUCUCUUUAACCAAUAAAGAUAUCUCUCUUAUUUAAAGAGAUAUCUUAUUUUACGAGUAAAUAGUAAAAGGGCUUGCCAUACAGACACGUCAAUGCAAGCCGAGACAUGUUUUGGACUCAUGGUCGUCAGUCAAUACAGUGAUAAAUGUUGAGCGUAUCAAAUCUGCGUUCAUAUUACAUGUAUAAUAUAUGGAGUAUUUGUACAAGAACGUGAACAUUUGAAUGAGAGUGUAGUGGACAUAUUAUAUACAUCAUCUCGAGUGAGGUUUACGCAUUCAGUGAAGCCAUUCUUGUCAUGUGUCGCAGUGAAUUGUACCGAGAUUUGCUUCCUUGUCGGAUUGGAGUUGUUGUCAUGGUGACCUACACUGUGCAUGUUGUGUAUUCUCAGCUGAAGGAAAGCUAGGUUUGUUCGUAUUGUUCUAAGUUGAUGGCUUGUCAAUCAGAUCUAUUAAAUCCUACAAUAAUAGUUAUAAGUAUGCCUGGUUGUUUUCUCAGACUUAUCGACUAAUGGAAAGAAUAUAUGGUCAACAAACAUGUCGACUCUGGUUCCAUUUGCCAGCAACUUCAGUUGCGUGUGGUAGACAUGUUUUGACGACUAGUAGUGCCAUCAGUACGUUUGUUAGCAACACUAUUAUUGUACGCUGGUUAAAAUUGUUCCCGUUUUGUCCUUGUCGACAGUGGAGUAGUACAUGUAUGUCAGUGGCAGAAGGAUGCAAGACUAUCCUGUAUGUGCUCCUCAACAGUUCAAAACCAGUACUAGUGCUAAAUUCUGCUACAAUUUUAUAAAAACCAACUUUCAUUUCAUAUGCUAGUUUCUCGUGAACAGACUCUUGUCUUUAUGUCUAUAAGGUUUUUCUUGAGAAUUGCUGGAUUGUAUUGAUCAGAAAGUUGUUCAUCGUCCGAAACUUUUUGGUUAACUGUUGAGAUCUUGAUUAGAUAAUUAGGUUUCAUGUCUUUGGUGAUCAAUGCCCGAGAAUCGUCAUUGAUGAGUGUUUGUUGUUUCUCUGGUAGGCGUAGGGAUGAUCCAAAAUUCUGCCUGACCAAUAGGCGUAGGGAUGAUCUAAAAUUCUGCCUGACCAAUAGGCGUAGGGAUGAUCUAAAAUUCUGCCUGACCAAUACCAUUUUGUAAAUAAAACGAUUGUUACUCAUAAUGGUAAAUGGAAGAGCAAUAUAACAUCAGUAAAAAAUAAAAAAAACAACAACAAACCUUCUCGGGAAUUGAAAGUAAUAGGCCGGAUUACCACACAUCUAUAAUUUCCGCAAGUUGAUAAAAUACAAUGGAAUGAUAAAAAGUUGGUUUAAUGGGACUUUUAGAACCUGGAUGCAAUUCCUGAAGGUGUAGUCUCUUCCAAUAAAUACAUUAUAAAUAUUCAUUCAUAGUGAUGGAUUUUAUAAUGAGACCAAUUAUUCUUACGCUAAAAGAUGACCGACAUUUAUAUAGUUUAAGCCAUGUUCAUAAGGUCGUGGCACUGUGUGAACUGUUAAUGAUUUGAAGAAAUUUUUAGAAUAACUAAUAUUUCAGAUAUAUUGUAAAGUGUUUUAAUGGUAUAUAAUAUUUUUAACAAAGUGAAAUGAUCACGUUAAAGCUCUCGUUGUAAGCUGAAUAUAAGACAAACGAAAGUACAAUUUUUCAAUGGGCAUGGACACCAUUUGAACUGAACAUUCAAAUUUUUGCUGACAAUUAGAAAUACCUUAAUUAAGCAUUAAAAAUGUGGAAAAUAAAAUUUCUCAAUUUUCUGUUCAAAUUGUGUCCAUGUCCCUUUAAAGCAAAAGCUCUAUAAAGAAAAUACAGCAUUAUAUAUCAUGGACAAUUCAAUUUCAUAUGAUAAAACCCAAUAUGCACUGCAUAUGGAGAAAUGAUUC